GAUGAACGCUGGCGGCGUGCCUAAUACAUGCAAGUCGAGCGAACGGACGAGAAGCUUGCUUCUCUGAUGUUAGCGGCGGACGGGUGAGUAACACGUGGAUAACCUACCUAUAAGACUGGGAUAACUUCGGGAAACCGGAGCUAAUACCGGAUAAUAUUUUGAACCGCAUGGUUCAAAAGUGAAAGACGGUCUUGCUGUCACUUAUAGAUGGAUCCGCGCUGCAUUAGCUAGUUGGUAAGGUAACGGCUUACCAAGGCAACGAUGCAUAGCCGACCUGAGAGGGGGGUCGGCCAACACGGAAACGAGAACAGGUUCCGACUCCUAAGGGAGGCCGCCGGAGGGAAAUCUCCGGAAUGGGGGGAAGCCUGACGGAGCAAAGCCGGGUGAGUGAUGAAGGGUCUCCGAUCGGAAAAACUUGGUAAUAGGGAAGAAAAAUUUGGGAAGUAACUGUGCACAACCUGACGGUAACCAAUCAAAAAGGCACGGCCAAACUAGGG
rnacentral:rRNA from 1 species